rnacentral:rRNA from 1 species
GAUGAACGCUAGCGGGAGGCUUAACACAUGCAAGUCGAGGGGCAGCACGGGGUAGCAAUAUCCUGGUGGCGACCGGCGCACGGGUGAGUAACGCGUAUGCAACCUACCCUGUACAGGGGGAUAGCCCGGAGAAAUUCGGAUUAAUACCCCAUAAAGAUAUUGAGAGGCAUCUUUUGAUAUUUAAAGAUUUAUCGGUACGGGAUGGGCAUGCGUAACAUUAGCUAGUUGGUAGGGUAACGGCCUACCAAGGCAACGAUGUUUAGGGGUCCUGAGAGGGUGAUCCCCCACACUGGUACUGAGACACGGACCAGACUCCUACGGGAGGCUG